GCUCGGAUGGCGGAACUGGUAGACGCGCUAGAUUCAGGAUCUAGUGGGUGCAAGCCCGUGGAGGUUCGAGUCCUCUUCCGAGCA
rnacentral:tRNA from 1 species